CCCCUAGACGUUCUGGGCUGCACGCGCGCUACAAUAAUACGCACAGCGAGUAUCACCGAGCUCGAAAGGGCAAGGUAAACAAUAGAAAAGGUACUGUAAUGGUUAUAGAUCCUUGUAAUUAUUGAUCUUCAACGAGGAAUUCCUAGUAAGUAUGUGUCAUCAUCACGCACUGAUUACGUCCCUGCCCUUUGUACACACCGCCCGUCGCUCCUACCGAUUGAUUGAUCCGGUGAAUUACAUAGAAUUUUGCGUUUUACAUGACGGAAGAUGAAGUGUUUUAAACCUUAUCAUUUAGAGGAAGGAGAAGUCGUAACA
rnacentral:rRNA from 1 species